GGCGCUUGGAAUAACCCCCGUGUGCGUAUGAGUGUGUGUGUGCGUGUGUAUGUGUCUCCUGAUUUCACCCUGACACACGCACACAUACACACUCACAACACAGUCAGACGCACACAUUUACUGUCUGUCUGACUGCAGGAGUGGAGCUCUGGCAGCAGAAAUCCGCUCGCAGAGGAUUCCUUCCAAUUUUACGCGCAACUUUUCCUCGCCGGCUUCUUCUCUGCGGCGUUUCCAGCGCUCCCCCCUCGAUUGUUGUGGAUUUCUAACAACCACCCCCUGGCUGUUUGUAGCGGAGCGACGAGCGAAGCUCGCCCGGAAUCGGAUCUGCUGUCACCGGGCUGCUUGUUGUCAUUUUCGCACGGAGACGCGCAGCCGGAGCGCAGACAGAAGGGGCAAUUUGUGGACUUGAUAAACGGACCAGAAAGCAAACGGUUGCACCAGGUAGGAUCCACAAACCUAAUAACCACUGUGUACUUGUAUAUCGCGACUACCCGGUCGCAAAGUCUGACGUCACUAGCCGUGUCUGGGCCUAAACUCCGCUGCAGGUCCAUAUAUCAAACGAUCACUAUGGCAUUACUGAGAGUUGAAAAACUGUCUAAAGUCUUUCAUCUUUAAUAAAAUGAUCAGUGUCUGCUCUACCAGGUGUAACAACUGAGUUUAACAUCCAGGCAUCCAUGAAAACGGAAUUUAUGACAUUUAACGGAGUUAGAAGUUAGCAGGGAGUUAGCUCGCUAGCUUCUAUCGAAAUACAAUAUAGCAUGUCCUGACUGCGGGGUUUUGGAAACAAAUUCAAACGUACAGCUCUGUUCUCACUUCCAACAUAAAUGAAGACAGGAAACUAAACAGCAGUGACGUUUGUAGGGUUACUGGAGUUUGGCUAGCUGGUAUAUAAUGAUGUGCUACGUGACCGCUAGCGACACAGCUAUGUUAGCAUAAUAUAAACAAGCUAACCUUUUUCCACUCGAUAAAAGUUAAAGUGAGUGUUCUCGGUGGUCAGGAACAAAUGUAAUCGCAUGGCAGCAUGCUGUAAAAGGACCAAACUUCAGCCAGGAGAACAACUGAGAUAAUCCAUCCAAAAUACGAGGUUAGUCAUUCAUAUACUGCUGCAUGCGCUGGGCUGUAGUUACAUCCUAAGGUUUUAAAAACUGAGCUUAAAUAAAUGAUUAGCGGUAAUAAAAGCCGAGGGAGGUCAACGGUGAUCACUGACUGUUUUAGGAGCUUUUUGAGAUUAAAUAGAAGAAAAUACAAAACAUUAAACAUGUUAACAACACAAAAGCCAUAUUAAACGCAGACUACUUUAGGCCCGGAAGUAGGAUUCGUCACGUCAUCACUUAACGACCGGAUAGUGUAAAAUAAUAUAUGACAUCCAGUCAUUGCGCACAAAAUAGAGUAAUUUAUGAGCUAGUUUAGGUAAAACAUUUCGGGUGCAAUGAAUAGAGGUCAAUUUUGACAAGUCAGUGAUUAUCUAUGAAGAUAUUUAAAACUCAGUAAUAUAAAUAAAUUUAUAGCUCAGGUGACAUUUUGCCCUUUAAGCCAGCUUCUAGUGACUGGUUGCCUAUUGCAAUAUCAAAAGUAGUAGCAGUCACCACAGCAUGCUUUAUAUUCUACGGCAAGAACCCUAUAAUAAUACAGAGAAAACCCAACAAUUACACAACCUCUUAUGAGCAAAGACGUGGCAACAGCGGAAAGGAAAAACUCCCCAAUAAGAAGAUAGUCAGAGAUGUCCAUAUAAGGACAUCCUCUCUUUGUCGUCAAAUCACUCAGCAUAAAAGGAGCAUUUCGACCAGUCUGAAGCCAAAACUUCUGCCACAUGGAUUAUUUGAACUUACACUGACCUCAUUAUUUGAAACUUUGGCCAUGUUUAAUAUGAGCAUCCACAACUUUAACAGACUCUAUAUGGCAGAUAAUAAGGAAAAGUACAGUAGGUCACUUUAAUUAAAAAAAAAAAAAGUCAAGAAAACUGUUUAAAAAUGCAGUUUGUGUAGAAAAAAUGUUGAAAAUAGUUGAAAAUAUUUCAACUAUCUGUGCAAGAGUAGAGUUUUCAUUUAAGAAGUCGUGCUUCUCUGCAAUAAUAACCGUCUUUUAAAAUGGCUGAUUCUUCUGUGAUGAGUGAGAGAGGGAGGCUCAUAAAGAAAAAACAGACGGUAAGACAAGGAGCCAUUUGAGCUGUUUUCAUUUAACCAGAAUUACUCUCAACUGUUUCCUCCCGGCUGGUUGCCGGGGAAACUGGCCAGCUUCGUUAUUGGAGGUGCGACCUCAGCUGGGAGUGCAAAUGAUAGAGCUCACUUUAACGUUCCCGCUGCCUGCAAUCACAUUUCUGUGACUCUCUUUCAUUAACAUGCUUUGUACUGUUUGGUAAAUGAUCUAAUUUUCCUCCUCGCACGCACAAUAAUCAGGUCGAGCUUUUGUUUGCCAAGACCAAAGUUUUGCGAGCUGAGCUGAUUAUGGUGAGUAAAGGCAGAAGCAGACGCUGUGUUAGGAUCCAAAUCCAACGGAAAUCCAACGGAAAUGUAUACCCAUCUCUUCUAACUCUGCUUUCACAAUGAUGGCCAAUCUGCCUGAAAAAUGAAAUAAAAUAAUAUUUGGUGUAAUAAAAGCAAACAUAUACCCCAGGCUGGCAGCAGUGGUUUGUAUCAUAGCAAGAAGUGCAGAAUUGCCAGACAUCAUAUGCAUGUCACUGAUUCUCAGAUUUUGUCAUCUCAAACUGGAAUUACUGCCCUGAGGUUUUAUACCUUUACCAAACAAGUCAAGUUACAGCUUAUCUUCAUGUCUCUGUUUGAGCUUCUGAGUUCAUGAUGACAUCACCUCAUCGCAUUUUACUGGAACUGUCAUUAACAGACAUCAACUGACAGAAGGCGUGGCUUUUUCUGUUGAUAUACAAAAAAAAAUCCAAAAAAACAAAUGAGGCUUAUGUAAAAAAAAAGGAAAAAAAACAAACAAACUUACAUCAUAUAUAUAUAUAUAUAUAUAUAUAUGUGUGUGUGUGUGUGUGUGUGUGUGUGUGUGUGUGUGUGUGUGUGUACCAGAAAAUUGUUCAUGCCAGUUGUUGAGGACAAAUAUACUUUUUCUAAGACUAAACACAAGAAAAUAACAAAUGUCUUUUGCAUGGCUUCUUAUACAGUUUAAUACCGAAACGUUUUGCAAGGAUCUUGAGAAUUAAUUGUUGUACAGAAUUAAACAAAUCAUUACUACUCAAUAAAUAUAAUCACAAAUUUUGAAUGCAAGAAAAAAAAACUUUGGCAUUAAUUUUAUCCUUCUUGUUUAAUUUUGAAAAUGUCAUAUUUGCAAAGCCAAACAAUUCUCAAUAUUACACAAUUUUUCAAUAGUUUUCAGCUGACAGUAAUUAUCACUUUAAGUCUCCUAAAUUCAAAGUAAAGAAAAAAAAUAAGUCAGCACACGUGUUGUUAAGAUAAUAAUAAUAAUAAUAGCAGUCUUGCCCACUCAGCAACCAUCCUGGAAACUAGUUAAAGGCCCAGCUAGAUUAAGAGCACAGUCGUUAAAUUUUCAGGUUUUAUUGACGUGGUCAAUGUUUCUGGUUCAUCCCACCAAUGUGCUGAAUAGAUGGUGUUGUGAACACCAAAUAAGAGGAAAAUGAGGUGCUCUAUAAGUUUACUAUGAUAAAGAGUAAUUAUGCUCCCCUGGCAAUAUAUUUCCUGAAGCAGCUAAAGCAGAUGACUGGCUGUUUAGGUGAAGCAGUGGGACAACAACUGUCAUGCUAAUGUCUCCGGUAAUUCAGUGUUAUUGGAAGCUGUCAGAUCGUUCGUUCACGUUACUCAUUUCUUUUCAAUUGGGGAUAAUUUAUCCAAAAUUCAGGAGCAAGAUCUCAUAAACCCCUCUUCCAGUUGUAUGUCUAUAAUAGAAUAGAAUAGAAUAGAAUUCAACUUUAUUGUCAUUGCACAUGCACAGGUACAGGGCAACGAAAUGCAGUUUGCAUCCAUCCAGAAGUGCUUAGUGAUAUAGAUAUAUUACAAUAUAUAUUAGCAAUAAUAUAGAUAUGUGAGUAUAUUACAGAAAUGGGUCUAUUAUGGUAUGUUAUAAUGUACACGGUAUGAAGUAUGUUGUGAAUAUUCUAUAACUAUAAGUAUGUACAGGCUGUAGUGAGUACAAGCUAUGUACAGGAUAUAAAUGCCUUCCCGCUUCGUGUGCCUGUUUAUUGUCGUCAUUGGUACCACAGGGAUCUGCCUGGCUUGGGAAGCACCACUGAUCCUCUGCGACGCCUUCCCCAAACCUCAGUGUAAGGCUUUAACUGAGGCCUAAAAUCCAUCUACCAUUCCCUAUCAGUAAGCAUUGUAUAACCCGUUUGAGGUUGUGGUCCUUGCCAAUGAUCUUUUAUUUUAUCAGGAAGUCAAACCAGAACAUGCUAACAAAAGAGAUUCUUAAUCUGUCUUGUAAGACGCUGACGUAGGAAGCAUAAACUUAGCAUGUUGGGGUUUUUUAAAGAAGGGAAAGUACAAGUACUACACAUAACUUCCCAAUGCUGAACAUGACACAUUAGUUUUCUGCUAGUUGAUGCCACGAUCACAAAGAAACAUGAUGCUGAGUUUUUAAAAAUCUUAAAGCGAGUGUGUAAUCUUAUGAUUUUCUCUUAAUCAAAUAGAAAUCUUGACAUAAUUUUUUAUGCGAUAUUCUUGGCUUACCCUCUAAAUAACAUCCUCCACGGCCUCAUAUAGUGCAAGAAACUAGAAAAACACAGAUGAACAAUGC
ensembl:lncRNA